GUCCCUGUUGCGCAAUUCAUAGCGCGUUGGACUUCCAAUCCAAAGAGCGUGGGUUCGAAUUCUACCUGGGACG
rnacentral:tRNA from 1 species